rnacentral:snRNA from 1 species
GUGCUCGCUUCAGCAGCACAUAUACUAAAAUUGAAACAAUACAGAGAAGAUUAGCAUGGCCCUUAUGCAAGGAUGACACACAAAUUUGUGAAGCAUUCCUAUUUAAA